rnacentral:rRNA from 1 species
UACGGGGGGGGCAAGCGUUGUUCGGAAUUACUGGGCGUAAAGGGCUCGUAGGUGGCCAACUAAGUCAGACGUGAAAUCCCUCGGCUUAACCGGGGAACUGCGUCUGAUACUGGAUGGCUAGAGUUUGGGAGAGGGAUGCGGAAUUCCAGGUGUAGCGGUGAAAUGCGUAGAUAUCAGGAGGAACACCGGUGGCGAAGGCGGCUUUCUGGACAGACACCGACGCUGAGGCACGAAAGCUAGGGGAGCAAACAGG